rnacentral:tRNA from 1 species
GCCGCCGUAGCUCAGUCGGUAGAGCGAUGCUUUCGUAAAGCAUAGGUCAAGGGUUCGAGUCCCCUCGGCGGCU